UACAGAGACUGCAAGCGUUAUUCGGAUUCACUGGGCGUAAAGGGUGCGCAGGCGGUUGGGUGUGUCAGAUGUGAAAUCCCGAGGCUUAACCUCGGAACUGCGUCUGAAACUACUCGACUAGAGUACUGGAGAGGGAAACGGAAUUCACGGUGUAGCAGUGAAAUGCGUAGAUAUCGUGAGGAACACCAGAGGCGAAGGCGGUUCCUGGACAGUUACUGACGCUCAGGCACGAAAGCAUGGGGAGCAAAGGG
rnacentral:rRNA from 1 species